rnacentral:rRNA from 1 species
CCAAUAGCGUAUAUUAAAGUUGUUGCAGUUAAAAAGCUCGUAGUUGAAUUUCGGGAUUGACGUGAUGGUCAUGCCUUAAGGGGUAUGAACUGUCACUGUUGAUUUCUCACCUUCUGGAGAAACUUGAUGUCCUUUAUUGGGUGUCUUGCGGAUCCAGGACCUUUACCUUGAAAAAAUUAGAGUGUUUAAAGCAGGCAUUUUUGCUCGAAUACAUUAGCAU